AUCAACCCACACGUUGAAAGUUAUACAGUGCAGCCAGCUCUUCAUACACAGGCCAAGAACAGACCGUCUACUUCAAAAGGAAUUGCAGUUUCCACAGCUAAUCAAGAAAAAAUACCUACUUCAACUUUAAUUCCAAGUGGUUCUGCAGUUUCCACACGUAUUGCUAAUCAAAAGAAAAGGAGAAAAUUUGAUAAAUUGCCUACAAUUAGGAAGCCUACCAACAAAACACCAGUUGCUUUCUCAUCUGAAGAUUCUUUAUCAUCAGACUCCGAAAUAGAGCAGGACACUUCUAUAAAUGAACUUUUUGCUAACAAUAAUAAUGCAGAAUUACAUAUUCAACCUAAUCAAAGCAGUUGUAAUGAAAUUUUCAAGGCUCAUGAAACGUCUUGGAAAUUUGGACCAAAUGUCAUUCA